rnacentral:misc_RNA from 1 species
UCCAAGUUUGAUAUUAACCUUAUGCUAGUAGCAUUCCAUGUUUAUAUGAUGAAGAGAAAGACGAUCAUAAUUGGAUUUAAAUAAUUGUAAACUGUUUUACAAUUAGAAAUUUAUAUGUAUAAAAUUUACUUUCCCUAUACCAUCUGAUAUGGAUUGGACAGAUAUAAUUUUCUCUUUACUGGUUUUGGAAUUCAUGAAUAAAAUAUGCUGUGGUCAUCUGUAGUUUGAUGUGUUCUAGGUCCUUGUGAAAUUGAUGUUUAUGUUCUCCCUUGGCUCUACAAUCUGACCAAUUAAUGAGGUAUAUCAGUUAGAUGUGCAUGCUUUUACCAUAAACUUAUGAUGCGCUUUUGAUGUUUCCCCAUUAAUGACAUGUGAUUUCAACCUUAGGUGGUAUAUUUGCGAAGAAACGG